AAAACGGCUCUUUUCAGAGCCACCAACAAUCUGAUAACGAGCUGU
rfam:Tetraodon nigroviridis, WGS project CAAE01000000 data, contig: CNS0BZ4A, chromosome: 18